UUGGUUGGUAAAUUUUGUUUAGGCUUUAAAAAUAUUUGCAUUUCUGAUUAUAGGAAAUAAAAAACAUCACUACAAAAUGGAGACAAAUGUGACCAAUUAUAUUGGUUUCUAGAAAAGAAAUGUCAGCCCAGAUAAAAAUCCCCAACUUUGCAGAAACCAAAAGAUUCCUAAAAACAAAAACAUUAUCAAUACAAUUAUUGCUUUCCUCUAUAAAUUCUUUCAGUAAACAUUUAUUGACCCAAGCACUGUGAUGUGUGGUAAGAAUAAAACAUUCUCUGUCCUUAUAAUGUUCAUUUGCCUGGAAAGACAGCCAUUGAGCAAGUAUGAUAAGUUUGAUGCAUGUCAUAAGUAUGUCUGAAUGUUACCUUCCAAAGCUCUUUAUAACACCUGAGGAUGGUUUAUUAGGAAGACUACAGGAGGACCUCAGAAUAAUGAGAAUGUUCCAUUGAGUCAGAUGCAGAAAGGGACUUCUAUAGGAGGACGUGGUUACAAUGAACAAGCAAAAACCCUGUCUGAAAAGACAAAGGCCUGUGUGCUUAUGAUUCAAACUUAUGAUUUUUUGAUUUUGAAAACUUGAACAGAUCCCAUUCUUUCAGAAUUAAAAUUCAUGCAUGCAUUUAAAGAAAUAAGUAUUAUAACUGCCCAAAUAAGGCAGACAUUAUGGUUUCAAAAUAAUUUAAAUGUAUCUGACAUACAGGAAAAACUUUAAAAAAUGUAUGUGACCUAAGAUUUAAAUUUUAUUUGUAUAGAGGGUCCAUUCAUGAACAUAACUGUGGGCUGGCUAUAGCAUAUCAUUUCUUAUAUGCCUAACAUUAAUCUCCUAAGUGGAAAAUGAAUAGUGCAAUCUCGAAUUUACUUCUUGGAACAGUUUUCAGAAAUAUAUUGAUGUAUGAGAAGAUAUAAUUGGCUGUGUUUUUGGUGAAUAUUGUAUAUAACAUUUCUGAAAUUUGGAUUUAGGUAUGCUAUAAAAUGAAAAUACAUAUCGUGAUAAUCUAUGUAUUAAAAAGGCAUGAAUGUGUGAUAUUCUCAGCACCUUUUAUGAAAGCUUAGCAGAUGUUGCAGUUUUCAUAAUGUAUGCAGUAACAUAAUUUUUAUAACUUUGUACUUAGAAUGAAUUCAUUUUAGUGUAGCACAAGAUAUUUAAAAAAUACAUUGAGGAAAAUAGUGUAAACAAGUAGAGAUUAUAUUUUAAAGUAGAAAAUAUCAUAGUUUUUCUAUCAGAGCUGAUAAUGGUGUUUCAGUGCAAGAAGCUUUAAAGAAUAUCAGAUAGAAACACCAUUUUGGAUACAAUUAACUAUUGAAUAGGACAUUAAUUCAGUUCUAGGUAUGGAUUGAUUGCCUAAUAUAUUCAGAUGUCUUAAGCAUAAAAUAUAUAAAGGUCAACGAAAUGUAUUUAAUUCCUCACUUGUAGUAAGUCAUCAAAAUAGUUAUUACAUGAAAUAUUGUAAAAAGAAUAAGUGAAUCAAUUAAAUUACUACAUUAAUGAAAUUGAACUCUUGAAAACAGGGCAUAUUAUAAUAUGCACUAAAGGCAAAUAUAUGCAUAUAUAUUUAUAUGUAUAUGUAUACAAACACACACAUAUGUAGUACCUUAACAUAGGUAGUGUGACUAAUUUAGGAUGAAGAAUUAUUCAAAGUCAAAUUCAUCUCUUUUGUUUUUGGCUUUUUCCAUGUUUAGAAAAAGUUAGUCUAUUAGAACCCACAUACAUACACAAUUUAAUGGACAUCUGCAAAUUUCCCUAUUUAAUAUAUUGGUUUUCAGUACUUUCAAAUGCAGGCAACUCUUUGCCUCCCCUCCAAAUCUAAUGAUUGAAUAUUACAGCAUUUAGUGUCAUUCGCAGAUUGACUUGAAAACCACUUUGGCCUGAAAAACACUAAUUUUGAAAGUUCAGUGCAAUGGUUUUUUCUUUUUUUUUUUUUUUAAUAGCAAUUUGCGGGGUAAAAACAGUGAAUUUUGAAUGUACCUUUAACUGACAUGUUAAAAACAGUGAAGGAAGAGUAAUGUGUACAUAGGAAGCAGUUAGCAAAUACUGUUUGAAUUUGAGUAAAGUAUAGGCAGAGUAUAGGAUGUGUCUCUUCUUUUUGCAUGUAUGAAAAUACAUUCUGAGGAAAGCCUAAAUGCUUCUGUUUCUUUGACGCUUUCAUACUUGCAUUGAAAUUCAGUAUUUAGUAAAUUUAAUUAUAGUAAAAUGAACUCUGUAGGACCAUGUCAAUGGGAGCUAAUGAAAGGUUAAAACACUUCAGAAAUACCUGUUGUCCAGAUACAUCUUGCCUUACAUUAAAAUCUAUUCUUUAAAAUUUAUUGCUAUGAAGAUUUUGUGGUAAAUCAUGUAUGCCUCUUAAAGAGGAAAAUAUUUCUAAUUGUAGGUACUAAUCUAGGGAGGCACAAUUCUUUUGUUAAGAAGCAUUUCUCAAGUUAUUAAUUUAGCAUUUUCAAAAAGUGUAUUUAAUUUCUCUCUUUAAUAUUUUUUAUAGUGGUUCUAAUAAUUGAAGGGAAUUAAAGCAUUUUAUUUUGUGGACUUCGAAUAUAUAUGUAUAUAUAUAUUUAUUUUAGCAAAGGCAGACUCUUGAUAGAAAAUUACGAUAAAACUAGUGUGAAAAUUUAGACUCUUAGCAGUGGAGAAUACAUAAUUUGGGAUUACUCUAAGCAAUACUCUUUAAACCUCUCUAAAUGAUACAAUUAGGCACUAUAUUAUAAUUGCUAAAUACAAAAAACACUAGAAAAUGUUAUUAACUAAGUGAAGUAGAAUGGAAAUUACCAAGAACUAGAUUUUACAAUAUUAAUAAGUGUUUCUUCAUAUAAUAUUGAUAUUUAUACUUAGUAUUAAUAUGGUUAGAAUUUGUCAGCAUACUUUCUAAUUUUUUUUACAACUUUCUAAUUUUUGUUUUAA